rnacentral:rRNA from 1 species
GACGAACGCUGGCGGCGUGCUUAACACAUGCAAGUCGAACGGUAAGGCCCUUCGGGGUACACGAGUGGCGAACGGGUGAGUAACACGUGGGUGAUCUGCCCUGCACUUUGGGAUAAGCCUGGGAAACUGGGUCUAAUACCGGAUAGGACCAUGCGCUUCACGGUGUGUGGUGGAAAGCUUUUGCGGUGUGGGAUGGGCCCGCGGCCUAUUAGCUAGUUGGUGAGGUACGGCUCACCAAGGCGACGAUGCGUAGCCGACCUGAGAGGGUGAUCGGCCACAUUGGGACUGAGACACGGCCCAGACUCCUACGGGAGGCAGCAGUGGGGAAUAUUGCACAAUGGGGGAAACCCUGAUGCAGCAAUGCCGCGUGAGUGAUGACGGCCUUCGGGUUGUAAAGCUCUGUCUUCGGGGACGAUAAUGACGGUACCCGAGGAGGAAGCCACGGCUAACUACGUGCCAGCAGCCGCAGUAA